rnacentral:ncRNA from 1 species
GCUGAGCCUAUCUCGACAGAGAGAAAAGUUGGGAACCUUGCCCACUUGGCUCGGCAAUUUAUUCAAGG